rnacentral:rRNA from 1 species
UGCCUUACAGCUAGCCCGUCCAAAUAAAAGAAACAUAUCACAUUAAUAACCCCUAAUACGCUUAACACCAACUAAACAAAUCAUUUUACCCCCUUAGUAUGGGCGACAGAAAAG